rnacentral:misc_RNA from 1 species
AAAGAAGUUUAGUGAGGUUGCCUGCUGAAGCAAUUUUGAUUCGUUACGCAGCUCCACUGGUCCACAGAUCUAGGAAUAAUUACUUAUUUUGCACAUCAAAGAAAAGAUGAAAACAGAGGAUGCAUUAAUCUCAAUAACAUAAAUAAUAGAACCACAAAAAUAUUUCGUACCCCUUCAAGUAAAACAAAUAGACUACACUACCAGCUCCACUAUUUGAGGCAUCUUUGGACAAGAUAAAAUGGUAUAAUAAAAGGGACAUACCAUGUUCAAUAAUACUGGUUGGGAAUCUGAUACUGCCGUCUUCUGAACCUUUUUUUAUUGACAGAUGUAAGCCCUUGUGCAAUGAGGCGAUCCUGCGCAUCUCUACACUAUACACAUAUUCACAUACACAACUGAUCAUUGCCAGCUCGACUAUCUUUAUUUAACUACCAAGUUGACUAUCUCUUUUCAACCAACCAUGAAUCAACUUGGACAAGAAACAAAUACUGGCCCUAUACAAUGGUGACAUGGUUAUGACUAAUGGACAUGGAUCACGGUAAAAUAAAUCCACACUUGAAGGGUGUGACGAGAAAACACUAGUUACUAGAACUAAAUGCAGGAACUUAUGAAGCAUCUAUUUGCAGCCAUAAUUUAUUCAGGAAACGUGGACCUUGGGCCAGCCUUAAUCUUCAAGUAAUUCAGUCUAAAGAUUUCUCCUCGUUGUAUGUCAACCCAAAACCAAAGGGAAAUAAAGGAUCAUAUGAGUUAUCUCCACUAUUCAUAGGCAGCUGUUCAACCUUCUUAAACCAUGUUACAGGCAGUUUGCCCUUAAAUUCAUAGUCUCCAAAUAUAACAUCUACGAUUCCUGCUCCUUCAGUUCCAGGCAACCAAGCAGCAACAAAAGCAUCUAUCUUUUCCAAGAGCCAUGCCUCUAAAACUAAAGGUCUUCCAGAUAUCAAAAUUACCAAGGUGGGGAUUCUAUCAGCAACUGAGCUAAUAACAUCAGCUCCAUUGAAGGGUAUCAGGAGCUCUGAAUUAUCACCAGUGAAUUCUGCAUAUGGAUCUUCUCCAACAGCUACAAUGGCAUAAGAAAAAUCUUGGCCUGCUAAAGUGUCUGGCGAUGGAUAUUUCUCAUGAAUCACUUCUGUUUCCCCUCCCACCGCAUUUUUUAUAGCAUCCAAGAUAGUAGUCCCAAUAGUAAUAUUGCCGCUUCCUCCAUACCAAGUUAUGGUCCACCCUCCACACUGAUAUCCAAGAUCGUCAGCAUGUGUUCCCGUGACAAGAAUCUUUUUAGCAUUUUUAUGCAAUGGAAGAAAAGGUUUCUUUGGAUCCUUCCCAUUUUUCAAGAGAACCAAAGACUUGCGAACUGCUUCACAUGCCAAUUCUCUAUGCAGCUGUCAAGAAAUACUAAGAUUAAAAAGGAACCUCAAGCAACAAAUCAAUUGAGGUAAUCUACAAAUGACAUUAAAAUCAAAAGUUCAACAGUAUGGUCAUUCAAAUGAUAUUGUAAACUGUAGCAAAUAAAAAUAAAGAUACACAUGUUUCUAGUUAAAGAUUAGAAUCUCCUAAUCAUUAUGUUACUCCACUGUGAGUAUUUGAUAUAUGUAUAUGUCCACAGGUUGGAUUCACCUGUUUUUUAAAAGUUCAUUAGACUUUUCUACUAAUUUGAAACAUCAAGGUGUCUUGAUAACUAUGCCCUCUUUCUGAAAUAAAGCUACACAAAGUGGGUAGCUUUCUCCCUUCCCAUAUCCCUUCCAAUUCCACUUUCAGGUCCCAGCAGGAUUCAAACCUUAGACCUCUUAAACAAAAUCCCAAGCAUUUAUAGUUCGGUAACCCCUUGGGGACAUGCCUAAUUCAUACUAAUAUUUCCUUUUUAGCCAUCUAAUUAACAUCCAGAAAUACUCUCUGUACCCUGUUCAUUUUCCCUCUCUAUAUCUGCAGACGCCAAUGAAUCAUUCUCCUUAAAAUGAUUCUGAAUUUUGAUUAUAAUCCUGUUUUGUAAUCACAGGGUUGGAUAUGACCUCAAAAUGGAAAUCACAUUGCUAAUGAUGGAGACACAUGAAUUUACUAUUUAGCAGUGUUAUAAAUACUUGAAUUUCAAUACCAAUAUUAGCUACUUCAGGUAUUUAGUAUCUAUUUCUGAUUUUAGAUUCUAAAAUCCAACAAAAAUAAAAUAUAUGAAAACCUAAUGAAUGUAGACAUGGAUGAAUCAUGUAUAUUAUGACUACAUAAAUAACCAAGUAUGUUGACGGGGUAAAAGUUAAACAGACCAUGAACAAAACUUCCUGAGCAUUUACCUUGCAACCAACCAAAUCUAGUAAAGAUCUAUCAGCAAAGGGAUAUUCAAAAAGACCUGCAACAAACUUUACUCUCAGUAUUCGCUCAACCGCAUCAUCAAUUCUGGCCAUUGGUAUCUCCCCUGAUUCCACCAGAAGCAUCAGGUCAUCCACAAAUUGUUCAUGUUUAAGACCCACCAUCACCAUGUCAAUUCCAGCGUUAACAGCAGCAGAAAUGCAGUAACGAUAGUUUGAGCCACGAGGAUUGCUAAGUCGGUUCAAUGCUUCCCAGUCAGAAAGCACAACACCCUGAAAACCUAACUUAUCUUUUAAGACUUCUGUCAGUAGAAAAUGGUGAGCAUGCAGUUGAUGUCCAUUCCAACUAGAAUAGGAUGCCAUAAUUGUGGAAAUACCCUGCGAAAUACAGUCCAGAAAAGGAACCAUGUGGAUCCUCUCUAGAUCUUCAUAUGACAGUAUGGUAUUCCCCUCAUUUAUACCUCUAUAGGUGCCCCCAUCUCCCACAAAAUGCUUAGCACAGGCAAUAAUAUUGUUCCUUCCAGCUACAAAAGGAUAGCCAUUUGGGUGUCCUUCAGGAGGCUGCCCCUGCAAGCCGGCAAUGAUAGAGGUCAUCUUUCUAACUGUGUCCGUGUCUUCACUAUAGCUUUCAUAACAUCUUCCCCACCGGGGAUCUCUGCAUACCUAUCAGCAACAGCCACACAGGGUGCAAAAGUAUAAUUAAUGCCACUUGCCCUAACUUCAAGUGCUGUUGCAAUGCCUAUCCUGCGUAUCAAAUCUGCAUCUCUGGUGGCUCCAAGGCCAACAUUGUGAGGAAAAAUGGUGGUACCAUAGACACCACUGUUACCAUGGACAGCAUCAAUCCCAUAUAUAAUUGGUAUACCUAGCCGGGAAUCAAGUGCCAGCCUUUGAAACCCAUCAACCAUAUCCGCCCAGUCAGAGGACAACGCAUUCUUAAAGGGUGCACUACCUCCAACGCUAAGCACACUCCCAACGGCCAAGUCUCUAAGAUAGUAGGGAGAGGCAACGCCGCGCUCGAUUUGGGUCAUCUGGGCAACCUUCUCAUUCAAAGUCAUUCUUGAAAGAAGGUCUUUGACACGAGCUUCUACAGGCGCAUAGGGAUCUUUGUAAAUGCAGGGAUCCAUCUUCUCUUCCUAGCUCUUCUCUGCUCCAACUGGGGUAGCACCAAAAUGUACAAAAAAUACGAAGAAAAUUUGGAAUUGGCGGUUGUCCUGUCUGGGCAGGUUCUACUUCCCCCCAGGGCCCCGGUUUCGUCUGGUCAUGGAUCGAAAUCACCGGUUUCACCUAAUAGAAUCAGAGUUUAG